rnacentral:lncRNA from 1 species
CAUGCAACGCCUUAACAGCACUUAAUGCCGAAUUUCUAAGGUUUAAAAUAAUUUUUGGAAAAUCGUUAAGAGUUUGUUUAGACUGCAUUUUAAAAAGGUAUAUAAUAAUAAAAUAAAAAAAAACAAGUUAGAUUAUCUUUUAACUAAAAAAUUAGAUUAUUUUUCCCGUAUGCAAAUUGUAUUUGUGAACUGUAGAAUUGUAGUCGCUUUUACUUCAAAAUUAUCAAUAUUUACUACAAAUAGAAACAAAGUUAUGAUUUAUUAAAAUAAAUGAA